ensembl:snRNA U6 U6 spliceosomal RNA
GUGCUUGCUUCGGCAGCACAUAUACUAAAAUUGGAACGAUACAGAGACGAUUAGCAUGGGCCUUGCGCACGGAUGACACGCAAAUUCUUGAAGCGUUCCAUAUUAAA